GUUCACAGUGAUAUAAGAAGAGAAAGACAGUCUAAUAUAUGACCAGGAGAACACUCUGCAACUCCAGUGGAAAGGAUGUUCUUGGGAAUACAAAUUGCAGCAGAAUCUAGUGACUAAGGAGAGGAGUGUCUUGAUGCCGAGGGCAUGUAAAAUGUAUGACACAUCCAUUCUAUGUUGAGGGAGUUAAGAAGGAUAGACAAACAAUGCAACAAUUUAAGGUAUAAAUUGCAACAGAGUAUAA